rnacentral:tRNA from 1 species
UGGGNUAGCCAAGUGGUAAGGCAACGGGUUUUGGUCCCGCUAUUCGGAGGUUCGAAUCCUUCCGUCCCA